GACGAACGCUGGCGGCGGGCCUAACACAUGCAAGUCGAACGAGUGGCGGACGGGUGAGUAAUGUCUGGGAAUCUGCCCGAUGGAGGGGGAUAACUACUGGAAACGGUAGCUAAUACCGCAUACCAUCGGAUGUGCCCAGAUGGGAUUAGCUAGUAGGUGGGGUAACGGCUAACCUAGGCGACGAUCCCUAGCUGGGCUGAGAGGAUGACCAGCGACACUGGAACUGAGACACGGUCCAGACUCCUCCGGGGGGCAGCGGUGGGGAAUAUUGGACAAUGGGCGCGAGCCUGAUACAGCCAAGCCGCGGUGAUGAAGAAGGCCUUCGGGUUGUAGAGUACUUUCAGAGGGGAGGGGUUGCUCGCAGAAGAAGCACCGGCUAACUCCGUGCCAGCAGCCGCGGUAAUAC
rnacentral:rRNA from 1 species